rnacentral:rRNA from 1 species
CCUACGGGAGGCAGCAGUGGGGAAUAUUGGACAAUGGGCGCAAGCCUGAUCCAGCAAUACCGCGUGUGUGAAGAAGGCCUGAGGGUUGUAAAGCACUUUCAAUGGGGAGGAACACCUUAGGGCGAAUACCCUUAAGACUGACAUUACCCAUACAAGAAGCACCGGCUAACUCCGUGCCAGCAGCCGCGGUAAUACGGAGGGUGCAAGCGUUAAUCGGAAUUACUGGGCGUAAAGCGUGCGUAGGCGGCCUGUUAAGUCAGAUGUGAAAGCCCUGGGCUCAACCUGGGAACUGCAUUUGAAACUGGCGGGCUAGAGUUAGGUAGAGGGGAGUGGAAUUUCAGGUGUAGCGGUGAAAUGCGUAGAUAUCUGAAGGAACACCAGUGGCGAAGGCGGCUCCCUGGACCCAAACUGACGCUGAGGUACGAAAGCGUGGGUAGCAAACAGGAUUAGAUACCCGUGGUAGUCCGACGACCGUAACGUAUAGUCGACUACGUCGUCGGUCCGUUUACGGUUUAGGUUGGUCGCGNGCGUACGUACAUAGUCGUACCGCCGUGGGAGGUACGGCGCGAAGUUAAACGUACGUAAGGUAAGUAGUUAGCGUGAGACGUGCGACGGACGACGACGAGGGAGGAGG